UAAGGUGGUUAUAGCAAUGGGGCUCACCUCUUACCAUUCCGAACAGAGAAGUUAAGCCCAUUAGCGCCGAUGGUACUACGUUUGUGGGAGAGUAGGUCAUCGCCUUUU
rfam:Seonamhaeicola sp. S2-3, complete genome.